CCUACGGGGGGCAGCAGUUGGGAAUCUUGCGCAAUGGGGGAAACCCUGACGCAGCGACGCCGCGUGCGGGAUGACGGUCUUCGGAUUGUAAACCGCUUUUCUCGGGGACGAUAAUGACGGUACCCGAGGAAUAAGCCCCGGCUAACUCCGUGCCAGCAGCCGCGGUNAGACGGAGGGGGCAAGCGUUGUCCGGAAUUACUGGGCGUAAAGCGCUCGUAGGCGGUCGCAUACGGCGGUGGUGAAAGCUCCCGGCUCAACUGGGAGAGGCCCGCCGCAACGGUGCGACGUGAGGGUGGUAGAGGCAAAUGGAAUUCCUGGUGUAGCGGUGAAAUGCGUAGAGAUCAGGAGGAACACCAAUGGCGAAGGCAGCCCCCUUGGCUAACACUGACGCUCAGGCACGAAAGCGUGGGGAGCAAACAGGAUUAGAUACCCUGGUANUC
rnacentral:rRNA from 1 species